UCCGCGCCCAUCAAUGAAUAAAUUAAAUUUGAAAAUUGAAAUGGAGGCAAAAAAGGAAGAAAUCACUUGUAAUGGAAACGGCAUCUCUCAUGCUAGCAGUGUAAAGAAGAGACUUGAUUAUUUAAACUGGGAUGAGUAUUUUAUGGCCGUCGCUUUCCUUUCUGCUCAGAGAAGCAAAGACCCUCAUUCACAGGUUGGUGCCUGUAUAGUUAGUCCUGAUCGUAAGAUUGUUGGUAUUGGGUAUAAUGGUAUGCCCAAUGGUUGCAGUGAUGAUGAGCUACCAUGGAAUAGAGAGGCAGAGAACAGAUUAGAUACUAAAUAUCCUUAUGUGUGUCAUGCUGAAUUGAAUGCUAUCCUUAAUAAGAACUCAGCUGAUGUUACAGGAUGUACUAUAUAUGUUGCAUUGUUCCCUUGUAAUGAAUGUGCUAAGCUGAUCAUACAGUCUGGUAUCACUGAGAUAUUAUAUGUCAGUGAUAAAUAUCAUGAUACUGAUCACAUGAUUGCUAGCAGGAAACUAUUGGACAUGGCUAAAGUUAAAUACAGACAAUUCAUUCCUUCAAUAAAGACACUAACAAUUGAUUUCUCAUCUAUUGAUGAUUGUGUGUAUAAUCACUGGACACAAUAAACAACAAUUAGUACAAUGAAUGCCAUACACUUUCUAUUCAAUUUAUUCCUUCAAUAAAGACACUAACAAUUGAUUUCUCAUCUAUUGAUGAUUGUGUGUAUAAUCACUGGACACAAUAAAGGACUAGUACAAUGAAUGCCAUACACUUUCUAUACAAUUUAUUCCUUCAAUAAAGACACUAACAAUAGAUUUCUCAUCUAUUGAUGAUUGUGUGUAUAAUCACUGGACACAAUAAAGGACUAAUACAAUGAAUAUUAAACACUUUCUAUGUAAGUUAAAACUUAUUGAAUUUGACCUUAACAUUUAAUGUGUAUUGUAUUAUGUAUGUUAUGUUAAUUUGCUGUUUUAUUAAUUGUUGGUUUUUACUUAUUCAUUUCUUAUUCUCAUGCACUAA